CCGAGGGUGCCAUAAGACCUGCUAACUCUUUAAUCUGGAACUAACACACCAGCCCCCUC
rnacentral:tRNA from 1 species